AAGGGCUGUUGCUCCUCUUUGCAAUGCCUGUGAUUUCAGUUUUUGCUAUGAAAAGAGAAUAAUUCUACUGCCAUUUUGCAGUUAAACUCAGCCAAACGACCCCUAAAUCAUUGCAUGUUCUCUUCAAAUUCUCAACCCCAAGGUGAGUGAGAAUCAAUAGUAGUAUUAGUAGUAGCGAAAAUUUUGAUCAAAUUGGUAGUGCAGGAGAAAAACAGGAUCCGUAUCUUGGUGGGGCAACCCGGAUGGCAGGUGACCUUGCAACCGGUGCUUGCAGCCAUGGCGGCGAUUCCACUCUCUCUUUGCUGCAUCUGUAAGUAUUACAGAUCCAUGUUGCUCGGACUCUACAAGAAUGUCGACGGCUGUGAAUCGUAUCCUCGAAAAAUAGUUCAUUUUUGGAGGAUUCGACACGAGUGAGGCAACAUUUUUUGAGAGUUCGAGCAACAUAGGCGUCAAUGAUUAUUUGUUUAGGGAUUAUUGAAAAUCGCUUCUUUACAUCCACAAGAUUAGGGUGAGAAUACACUGGGUUGUUGUUGUUAUGUUGUUGCAGCUGGGAAAUUCGCAGGUUGAGAAACACUUGAGAAUUUUAUUUCCCCAUCAAAGGAAGAAAGCUUAGUCCAGAAGAGUAAGACCCCAUUUGGCCAUGAAAAUAAUAGUUUUUCAGUGUUGAAGUUGGAGUUGUGUUUGACUAUGAAUAUAAAUUGGAGCUGCUUUUGAAAUUCUGUGAGAGAAUUAAGAGUGAAAAAAGUGAAUUCACUUUUUUAAAAACAAUAUCUUCACUAAAGUGAAAUAAUUAUUUAGAGAAAAGUGAAAAAAUUCUCAUGACCAAACACCUACUAAAAGCUCAGAGGAAAGAAUUGAGGGUUGCAGAGAAUAGAGAGAAAGUUCAAAGGAAUGUUGCUCCUCUUUGCAAUACCCAUGAUUUUGUUUUGCUAGGUGAUUCUUCCCAUAUGUCUUAGCCUUUGGUGGUUAGAGUUACCUGUUGUUGUUAGUGGGAUUAUACCCGUGGAUUUAGUCGAGGUGCGCGAAAGCUGCCGUGGACACCACGAAAAAGUAAAAGCUCAUAAAUGAAGAAUGGGGUGUGCAGAUAGUAGAGGUGAAAAGUUCAAAGGGCUGUUGCUCCUCUCUGCAAUGCUCGUAAUUUCAGUUUUUGCUGUGAAAAAACCUAAAUUCUAAGCCGGGGGUCUAUCGGAAACAACCUCUCUAUCUCAUCUUUGAGGUAGUGAUAUGGACUGUGUACGCUUACCUUCGUCAGACCCCACUUGGUGGGAAUAUACUGUGUUUGUUGUUGUUGCUGUUAAAAAUAUAUAUUCAACAGCCCCCUUUCUCAGUUAAACUCAACCAAAUGACCCCUUAAGUGUUUGCUUGUUCUCAUCAAAUUCUCACACUCAAAGUGAGAAUCAAUGGUAGUAAUAGCUGUACUGAAAAUUCUGAGGCUGUGAUGAUGAUUUUCUUCUUUCUCUGAGCAAAUCGAUAGUACAGGAGAGAAAUUGGACCCGUAUCUUGGCGGGGCAACCCGGAUGGAAGGUGUCCCUGCAACUGGUUCUUGCAGCCAUGGCAGUGAUUCCAGUCUCUCUUGCUGUGUCGUAAGUAUUAGACAUCUGAGCUUCAAUGUUUGUUUUUUGGAAGAAUAACAUAAAUAUACAUCUUAACUUGCUAUAUUUACACAAAUUCCAUCCUUACAAAGUAGAGGUGAAAAGUUCAAAGGGCCCGUGAUUUCAAUUGUUGCUGUGAAAAAAAUAUAAAUUCUGAGCUAGGGGUUUAGGAAACAGCCUCUCUAUCUCAUCUGUGAGCUAGUGGUAUGGACUGUGUAUUUUGAGCUAGGGGUUUAGGAAACAGCCUCUCUAUCUCAUCUGUGAGGUAGUGGUACACUUACCCCUCUCGGACCCCGCUUGGUGGGAAUGUACUGGGUUUGUUUUUGUUGUUGUUGUUAAAUAUAAAUUCAACAACCCUUUUCUUAGUUAAACUCAGCAAAACGCCCCCUUAAGUGUUAGCUUGUUCUCACCAAAUUCUCACGAUCAAAGUGAGAAUCAAUGGUAGUAAUAGUUGUAGUGUAAAUUUUGAGGCUGUGAUGAUGAUUUUCUUCUUUCUCUGAGCAAAUUGAUAGUAGAUGAGAGAAAUUGGACCUGUAUCUUGGCGGGGCAACCCGGAUGGAAGGUGUCCCUGCAACUGGUGUUUGCAGCCAUGGCGGUGAUUCCAGUCUCCCUUGUCGUAUCGUAAGUAUUCGACAUCUGAGCCUCAAUGUUUGUUUUUUUGGGAAAAUAACAUAAACAUACACCUUAACUUGCUAAAUUUAUACAUAUUCACAUCCUUACAAAGUAGAGGUGAAAAGUUCAAAGGGCCUGUGAUUUCAAUUGUUGUUGUGAAAAAAAUAUAAAUUCUGAGCUAGGGGUUUAUCGGAAACCUUCUCUCUAUCUCACUUGUGAGCUAGUGGUUUGGACUGCAUACACUUACCCUCCUCGGACCCCACUUGGUGGGAAUAUACUGGGUUUGUUGUUGUUGUUAUUGUUAAAAUAUAAAUUCAACAACCCUUUUUCUCAGUUAAACUCAACGAAACGACUCCUCAAGUGUUUGCUUGUUCUCACCAAAUUCUCACACUCAAAGUGAGAAUCAAUGGUGGUAAUAGUUGUAGAGUAAAUUCUGAGGCUGUGAUGAAUGAUGAUGAUUUUCUUCUUUAUCUGAGCAAAUUGAUAGUACAGGAGAGAAAUUGGACCUGUAUCUUGGCGGGGCAACCCGGAUGAAAGGUUUCCCUGCAAGUGGUGUUUGCAGCCAUGGCGGUGAUUCCAGUCUUGUCGUAUCGUAAGUACUAGACAUCUGAGCCUCAAUGUUUGUUUUUGGAAAAAUAACAUAAACAUACACCUUAACUUGCUAUAUUUACACAAAUUCCCAUUCUUACAAAGUAAUUACAAAAAUCCCAACUAAUUGUCUAUCUUCGUUGGAUGUAUUAGAACCUAAUUACAUAUCUCGACAAACCCAAAAGCUGAAAGAAUGUAUCGGGAGCUAAUUAUGUAUCUUUACAAAGGAAAAAAUGUUUCUUCGUUGGUUGUAUCGGGAGCUAAUUAUGUAUCUUUACAAAGGAAAAACGUUUCUUCGUUGGAUGUAUUGAGAGCUAAUUAUGUAUCUUGAUAGAUCCAAAAUUUGGAUUUUGAGUAAUUAUGUAAAAUAUCAGGAUUUUCUAUGAUUAAGCUUCAAACUGUCGGGAUUUGUGUUGUUUCCUUGUUUUUUCUUAAAUGCAGUUGGGAAAUUGGUAUGUCGAAGAAAGCUCAGAGAUGAAGAAUAGAGAUGAAGAAUGAGGAUUGCAGAGAGCAGAGGGGAGAGGGGAAAGUUCAAAGGGAUGUUGCUCCUCUCUGCUAUGCCUGUGAUUUCAGUUUUUGCAGUGAAAAAAUAAAUAAAUUCAAGCCCUUUUUUCAGUUAAACUCAACCAAACGACCCCUUAAUCUUUGCCUGUUUUCUCCAAAUUCUCAACCCCAAAGUGAGAAUCAAUAGUAAUUGUAGUAGUAAUAAUAAUUGUAGCUAAAACUCUGAGGCUGUGAUGAUGAUUUACUUCUUUCUUUGAGCAAAUUAGUAGUGCAGGAGAACAAUAGGACCCGUAUUUGGCUUGGCGGGGCAACCUGGAUGGCAGUUGACCUUGUAACUGUUUCUUGCAGCCAUGGCGGUGAUUCCAGUCUGUCUUGCCAUAUCGUAAGUGUGAUAGAUCUGAGCCUCGAUCUAUGUUGCUCGGACUCUUCUAGAAUGUUGAUGGGUGCACAUAGAAUCCUCCAAGAGUAGUUCAUUUUUGGACCAUUCGACACGAGUGGGGCAACGUUUUUGAGAGUUCGAGCAACAUAGGCCACGAUUUGCUAAGGGUCUAUUGAAAAUCACCUCUUUAUUUCCACAAGGUAGAAGUGAGCUUACAUUGGUUGUUGUUGUUGCAGCUGGGAUAUUUACUGGUUGAAAAACACAAGAAUUUUCCAUAAAAGGAAAAUAGCUUAGCUCAAAAAGUAAAGAAGAAUGAGGGUUGGAGAGAGUAGAGAGGAAAAGUUCAAAGGGCUGUUGCUCCUCUCCGCAAUGCCUGUGAUUUCAGUUUUUGCUACGGAAAAAGAAUAAUUCAACAGCCCUUUUUUUUUUAAGGUUAAAAACUCAACGAAAUGUCUAUUAAUCUUUGCUUGUUUUCUCCAAACUCUCAACCCCAAGGUGGAAUUAGUAGUAGUAGUAGUAGUAAUAAUAAUGGUAGCAAAAAUUCUGAGGCUAUGAUGAUGAUUUUCUUCUUUCUUUCUCUGAGAAAUUCGUUAGUGCAGGAGAGUGAUUGGAUCUGUAUCUUGGCGGGGCAACCCGGAUGGCAGGUGACCUUGCAACCGGUGCUUGCAGCCAUGGUGGUGAUCCGGUCUCUCUUGCUGUAUUGUAAGUAUUCCAGAUCUGAGCCUCAAAGUUUGAUUUUUCAUAAAUGCAGCUGGGGAAUUGGCGGGUCGAAAAACACACGAGAAUUUCCCAAAAGCUCAGAGAUUAAGAAUGAGGGUUGUAGAGAGUAGAGGAGAAAGUUCAAAGGGCUGUUACUCUCUGCAAUGCCUGUGAUUUCAGUUUUUGCUGUGAAAAUGUAAAUAAAUUCAACAGCCCUUUUUCAGUUAAACUCAACCAAACGACCCCUUAAGUGUUUGCUUGUUCUCUCCAAAAUUCUCACAUCCAAACUGAGAAUCAAUUUUACUAGUAAUAAUUGUAGCAAAAAUCUAAGGCUAUGAUGAUGAUUUUCUUCUUUCUUUCUGAGCAAAUCAAUUUGGGCAGAAAGAAAUCGGACCCGUAUCUUGGCGGGGCAAUCCAGAUGGUAGGUAACCCUGCAACUGGUGCUUGCAGCCAUGGCGGUGAUUUCAGUCUCUUUUGCCAUAUUGUAAGUAUUACUGAUCUGAGCCUCAAUGUUUGAUUUGCUGAUAGUCCAUUGGGAACAAUCUCAUUACCUCCACAAGGUAGGAGUGAGAUCACACUGGGUUGUUGUUGCAGCUGGGAAAUUCACAGGUCUAUAAUCACAUGAGAAUUUCCAAUAAAAGGAAAAAAGUUUAGCUCAGAAACGAAGAAUGAGGAUUUGCAAAGAGUAGAGGAGAAAAGUUGAAAGGGCUGUUGUUCCUCUCUGCAAUGCCUGUGAUUUCACGUUUUGCUGUGAAAAAGUUUAGACGUAAUACAUAAACAUGCCCUUUAACAUAAACUUGAACUGGCAUCUAUGUCCUUCAACUUUGCUGUGCACAUGUAGUCACUUAAACUCUUAUAAAGUUGAACAAGUGAACAAUAAUAGUUGUUGGGGAAGUUCUGAGGCUAUGAUGAUGAUUUUCUUCUUUCUUUCUUUGAGCAAAUUAAUAGCGCAGGAGAGCAGUUGGACCCGUAUCUUGGCGGGGCAACCCGGAUGAGAAGGUGACCAUGCAACCGGUGCUUGCAGCCAUGGCGGUGAUCCAGUCUCUUUUGCUAUAUCAAAAGUAUUACAGAUCUGAGCCUCAAUCUAUGUAGCUCGAACUCUUUGAGAAUGUCGAUGUUCGAUACAAGUGUGGUAAUAUUUUUGAGAGUCUGAGCAACAUAGUCACGGGUUUGCUUUGAAAUUUCAGCUCUGAAGAAUGAGGCAUCAGAGAAUUGGAAGUUUCUGUAAAGGGUGGUUGCCCAUCUCUGCUUUGCCAGUGAUUUCACCAUUGAUGACCAAAAAACCCAACAUCCCUUUGAAAUAACCCAAAAGAAGAAGAAAGCAAAUUGAAAAUACUUCAUCCAAACACACCCCUAUACUGUUCCUGCUCUUGUUCUUCCUCUGUCUCUGUGCUGCUGCUGUUAUGCUGUAAAGGGGCUGUGAUGAUUGCUUGCUUCCUUUCUGGGCUAUGUUCAAUCAUGUCAUUUAGAGAAUAUCCGAUCCGUUUCUUGGCAGGGCGACCCAGUACGGUUUUGUAUAGAAAACUGGUGUCUGCAGCCAUGGUGGCGUCACUCUUCUCUUUUGCUUUGUUCAAAUACAGCAAAUCUGAGCCCUCAAUAACCCAUUUCAUAUAAUGGUUGUUUGAGCUAAUUAACUCCGUGCAUUAGAUUUUUGUUACCUGGAUUUUGGCAUGGCAACCUAAAUUUCUGUGAUUCGUAGCCAUGGCAGAUUUCCAGAAAUUUCAAUGCUCUAGAUACAAAUCUGAGCCGCCAGCUAUUAACAUAGUAGUAGUAGUUGUUGAACUCUGCAUCCAAGGGUGUGUGGCCUAGUGGUCGAUGAAGUGGGAUGAGAGCCUAAGGUCUUGGGUUUGAAUCCCAGCAGAGACAAAAAGCACUAGGUGGUUCUACCUAGCUGUCCUAGCCUUGGUGGAUAGAGUUACCUGAUAUCUGUAGCUGGUGGGAGGUGACAGGUAUCCCAUGGAUUUAGUCGAGGAGUUGUUGGACCAUCGAUUUGAUUUAUAAGAUUAAUAUAAAGAAGCCUAAUACCUUUGCAAAUUAUGCAACCAUUUUCUCAAAGUAGCAGUGAUAAUAUAUUCUUAUCUGAGCUUCGGGAAUAAAGACAAUCCGACCUGUAUCUUGGCUUGAAAACCUCCCGAUGCUGUGUGAUUUAAGGCUUGUCUUUCACAUACAACAGCCAACCGGUACUUUUGCAGCUGCAGUGUGGUCCCUUUCUCUUUUCCCCAUUAGAAGGUCAGAUCUGAGCAUCAAAAUCGCAAGUAGUCCCGGACUUUUGAUUGGUGGAAACCAAACCCAUUUAACUUAUUUUGAAGCCAGUUCAAUGAGGCUUCAUUGCGAAAUGCGAAUUAUUUGUUUAUUUAUUUAUUUAUUUAUUCAUUCAUUCAUUCAUUCAUUCAUUCAGUUUUGCUAGUAGGCCCAAGAUUUCUUGCUGCUGUGUGACUGCAUGAACACCUAAGCAGCGAGAAUCAUACUAGAAAAAGGUGAAAUUGAGGCAGUGAUGUUAUAGUUCUUGACUAACAGAAGCUACAAGUUAAGCAUAGCCUAGAAAGGAAGAAAAAUGAGGCAUCAGAGAAAUUGGGAUUUUCUGUGAAAGGGUGGUUGCCCGUCUCUGGUUUGCCCGUGAUUUCUCCAUUAAUGGAAAAAAAACCAACAGCCCUUUGAAAUAAACAAGAAAAACAACUACUUCAUACCAAACACACCCUUAUAUGCUUCUUGUGCUUGCUCUUUCUCCUCUCUUUGUGCUGCUAAAAUGUUGUGAAGGGGCUAUGUUCAAUCAUGGCAAUUGAGAAAAUAUCCGACCCGUAUCUUGGCAGGGCGACCGACCUCAUUAGCAAACUGGUGUCUGCAGCCAUGGCGGUAUUGCUUCUUCUCUUUUGCUUUGUUAAAAUACAGCAAAUCUGAGCCCUCAAUUAACCCAUUACUAUAACAUCAGCAACCUUACCCUUCAAUAACCUGUUAUGGGUUUGCGUUGAAAUUUAUGCUCUGAAGAAUGAGGCAUUGGAGAAAUUGGGAUUUUCUGUAAAGGGUGGUUGCCCAUAUCUGCUUUGCCCGUGAUUUCUCCAAAAAAAAAAAAAAAGAAAAACCAACAGCCCUUCGAAGUAUACAAAAGAUAUAGGAAAAAGGGUCAAAUUUACCCCUUUGAAAAAUUGGGUAAAUAUAUCUUUCGUUAUACUUUGGGGUCAAAUUUGCCCUCGCUGUCAUACUUUGGGUCUACAUUUACCCCUCUAUUUUUGAAAAUUGACUAAUAUACCCUUCGUCAUACUUAAAAGGCCAAAUUUACUCUCGUUUUUAAAAAACUUUUCAUAGGUACCCUUUCUUUAAGCGGGUCCCUUCUGUUUUGCUUUGUCAUAAAAUACAGCAAAUCUGAGCUCUCAAUAAGCAUUUCAUUUCAGGUCUAAAGAAAUGAGGCAUAGGAGUAAAUUUUGGGGAUUUCUUGGGCGGUUGACCUUCAACUUGACAAAAACCCUUCUGUGCAUGUAUGUAUGACAACGAUAGUAUAUCCAGUGUAAUCCCGCAAGUGGGUGAAUAUGUAUGUAUGCGUGUAUACAUGUUGAUGGACAAUCCUGUUUGGAUGGUUGUCCACAUUGGUAUUGUAUUUUUGUUUUGGAAAACUAUACGAGAUGCAAUUACAAUGAAGCUAUAAAAAGCACCUCAUUGGCACCUUAAGUUCUGGGGUAAGUUUUUAAUAGGGAUGUGAUUGAUUUUUCUGAGCUUAGAUUGCAUCAGGAUUUGAUAGGCCCUAUCUUGGCGCGGCAGUCCGAUUUCGGGAUUUGCAGCCAUGGAGGUGGUGAGAUUUCCGUGCCCAAGAUGGAAUACAGAUCUCAGCCUCAAAAUCUUUGUUAUUAUCUUCUCCAUUUGACCAAUAUGUUGUGUUCUAGAUUUCAGCUUGCUUGCUGUCAUUUGAGAUGGGAAUGUGGUGGGCUAUUCUUUUGUUUCUCAAUUUGCGUUGAAAUGUUUUGUUGGGGUUAUUCGAAUUCGGUCCUUUCAUAAUUCGUUUAAUUCUAUUGGAGCAGGAACUGAUAAUGCAUGAUACUUUGUGUUCUCGAUAUGGGAACCAAAUAAAUAUAGGAAAAUAAUUAGAUAGAUUAAGUUCUUUCUAUGUUUGGUAGAGGGGGGUGGGUGAAGUUGUAGUAGAGUUGAAAGAAAUCAUUAUCUCAUCUGAAUUGCAUAAAUUUGUGCAUAUUUUUAGCAUAAGGUCUUUUUUAUUUUAGCAUGUUUACAAGAUAAAGGAGAAUCCAGUCCAGAAUGAAGAAUGAGCCCGACACAAAGUAAGGUACUCCAGGCAAAAUAUCAAAUAUAAUGGGAAAAAUGGUGCUGUUGUAUCAUCGUGCUAAUUGAAUCAAACAUUGGAAUUGAGAUGCUGAUAUGUUGUCUGUGAAAUCCAAAUUGCAUUUUCUACGAUAUAAAUCAAGGCCUUCCAAUUUGCAGACACCUAUGCUUCUAAAAUGGUGAGUUAUAGUACGUCAGGAAUUGAAUUCAUCAGAAACAAUUUUGACGUUAGUCAAAUCUUUCUUCAACUUGUUUGCUGACUUUUCUUUCGCCACACAUAAUAACAAAGCAUUAUAAAGCCUUUCUUAGCAAAUUGUGAGUAUGACUACUCAUCUAAUUUUCUCCUUGAUAUUUGCGUAUUAAAAGGAUUAAUAACUUCAUGCACAAUCAUGUUAAGAAUGUGUUCAACUGUUCUGAUUACAUCUUGCAUAAGUUAACUACUUAAAGUUUUCAUUACAAACAUGUUGCAAAAUCGUUGGCAAUAUAUUCCAACAUAUCUCAUAAAUCUUUUUUUAAAAAUAUUUGUAACACUAAUUGCAGUAUUAUUGUGGCAAAUGGGUCUUACUUAAGUCUACUGUAGGUUGCACGUGGCAAGUUGGUGACCAGCAAGUGUAAUUGCUGUAAAUUCACAGUGAAUGAGGUUUAGAUAUAAAUCAUAUCUAUAUAUAUUAUUAUAGUCGAUAUUUAUCUGUAUAUAUUAUUAUAGUCAAAAACAUGAUCAUAUUUUAUUACCUGAAAAAUAUUUGAAGUCAUUUCAAUUGUUACAUGUCACCACAAGCAAUAAUAGCAUGAUACUUUUCUAGUAGACGGACUAAACAAGAAACUAGAUAUUAGUGCACUGUAUAACUACAAGUUUUUUCGUCCGCAUAUGUAACACUGGAGGUUGAGCCCUGAAGGAAGAAUGAGGCGAGGGGCUUCUCGGACGGCGGUUGAGCGCCCUUGUCAUCCAAAACUUCCACAAUUUCUUGAAAUCAAUGGAAGAGUAACAAUUUCCUGUAAGAGGCAGUGAUGAUAUUUGUUCAUUGGGGCAUUUUCUCAAAUGACCUUUUCUAAGGCUAUUAUUUAAAUUUUUCCUCAUUUCUGUUGGGGCAUUGAGACAUCCCGACCCCCAUUUUGCCUUGGCAAACACCGGAAUGGUCUGUGAUUUGAGGUUUCUCUUUCACUUGCAAUUGAUUCUAUUGCAGCUAUGGCGUGGUCGCCUUCUCUUUGCCCCAUCAGACACGGAGAUCUUGAGCCUCAUUUUCUAAAUUUCGUUUUGAUGACACUGGAAUCAAACACGAGACCUUCUUUAAUGGAAUCUCAUUUUGCCUCGUUUCUAAGAGAAUUAGGAUUUUUCCUUCUCUUGAUGUGGUAAGUCUGUGGAAUUCUUUUCACAAUAGAUAACAACACCCUCUUUUAUCGAACCGUUGAUUAGCCUUCAAUGGACGGUUGUUUUCUGGAAUUGGGAUUCUUCAGUUUUAUGUGUUAGACUGACGUGAUAACCAACUAUCACCACAUCAUUUCUGCCAAAGGCUUUGAGGCUUUGGGGAAUGAUUCUCAUUGUAGAUGACCGACCAUCUUCGACAUGCCAAUGCUUUCUGUCUCUCUCUAAACCAGGCAGCCUUUUCUGUAUGCAUGUUUCUGUAUAUGAAAAUAUGUGAAUAUGUACUUAUGUUUCAGCUAUCUUAAUUUGUCCUCAGUGGCUGUGUUCCAAAGCAAUGAACUCGAUAAGGGGAAACAAGAGGGCAGUGAUGAUAUUGCUUGCUGAGUUAAUUAACAUCGGGCAUUAAAUUUCUCUCACGUAUAUCUUCUCAUGGCAACUUAUUUUUGAACUUGAAUUUCUGGAUUCACAGUCCAAUGUCCUGACCGCGAGGUCCACUUGAUUAGGUUUUCAGAAAUGUCAUUCCUCCAGAUAUAAUCUGAGCCUCCGGCUGAAAGCAAAGCAUUAACAUAGUAGUGGUAGUAGUCCUUGGACCUUCGGUUUGAUUUAUUUGUUCAUUCAGUCAUUUUCGCUUUUAAGAACAAGAUUCCUUGCUGCUCCAUGGCUGUGUGAACACCUAAUCAGCGAGAAUCAUACUAGAAAAAGAUGAAAUUGAGGCAGUGAUGAUGUGGUUCUUGGCAAACAGUAGCUACAAGUUGAGCAUAAUCUAGAAAGGAAGAAAAAUAAGGCAUCAGAGAAAUUGGCGUUUCCUGUAAAAGGGUGGUUUCCCAUAUCUGCUUUGCCUGUGAUUUCUCCAUUCAAGGACAAAAAAAAAAAACCAACAGCACUUUGAAAUAAACAAGAAAAACAACAACUUCAUACCAAACACACCCUUAUAUGCUUCUUACUCUCGCUCUUUCUCCUCUCUUUGUGCUGCUGAAAUGUUGUGAGGGGGGCUAUGAUGAUUGAUUGCUUCCUUUCUGGGCUAUGUUUAAUCAUGGCAAUUGAGACAAUAUCCGACCCGUAUCUUGGCAGGGCGACUCGGUUAGCAAACUGGUGUCUGCAGCCGUGGCGGAGUUGCUGCUUCUCUUUUGCUAUGUAAAAUACUGCAAAUCUGAGCCCUCAAUAUCCCGUUACUACGACUACAACGACAACAACAUACCCAGAAAUGGGGGUCUGUGUAUAUGCAGCCUUACCUUUCAAUUACCCAUUUGCGUCGGAAAACCCAUUACAGGUUUGCGUUGAAAUUUCAGCUCUGAAGAAUGAGGCAUUAGAGAAAUUGGGAUUUUUUGUAAAGGGUGGUUGCCCAUAUCUGCUUUGCCAGUGAUUCCUCAAAAAAAAAAAAAAAAAAAAACCAACAGCCCUUUGAAAUAUACAAAAAACAAAAAACAAAAUCCAAAAUUCUUCGUACCAAACACACCCUUAUAAUUCUUUGUGUUCUUUCUCUUUCUCCUCCUUUUGUGCUGCUAAAAUGUUGUUUAGGGGCUAUGAUGUAUGAUUGCUUCCUUUCUGAGCUAUGUUCAAUCAUUGCAACUGAGAAAAUAUCCAACCCGUAUCUUGGCAGGGCAACCCGGUUAUAGCUUUGAAUAGCAAACUGGAGUCUGCAGCCAUGGCAGCGUCGCUUUUCUCUUUUGCUUUGGUCAAAUACAGCAAAUCUGAGCCCUCAAUAACCCAUUACUCCAUUACUGCAAUAACAACAUAACCAGAAAUGGGGUCUGUGAAAAGUGUAUUAAGCGUUACCCUUCAAUAACCAAUUUGGUCGGAAAACCCGUCACAGGUUUGCAUUGAAAUUUUAGCUCUGAAGAAUGAGGCGUCGGAGAAAUUGGGAUUUUCAGUAAAGGGUGGUUGCCCAUCUCUGCCUUGCCAGUGAUUUCGCCAUUGAUGACCGAAAAAAACCAACAGCCCUUUGAAAUAAAUAAAAAGGAAAAAAAGAAGAAUGAAAAUUGAAAAAAGUUCUUUGUGCUGCCACUGCUGCUAAUGAUGCUGAUGUUGGAAAGGGAGACCCACUGAUGGCGUUGAAUAGCGAACUGAUGUCUGCAGCCAUGUGGGAGAAUGCUCUGCUCUUUUGCUUUGUUCUGAAACAGCAAAUCUGCGCCCACAAUAAGCCGUUUCAUGGAUUGGAUGCCAUGGCGCAGUUCUCUUUCGUUGUAGAAAAUACAGACCCCUCAAGCCCUCGUCUGUAAACCCCUCCCCCUACCUCAGAAAAGAAUAGGAGGAGGAACAUCGCGGCGGUGCCUCUCUUCGGUCAAGCCCUCAAUAACUCAUUCAGGGCGACCCAGUUAUGGCUUUGAAUAGGAAACUGGUGUCUGUAGCCGUGGCGACGUUGCCCUUCUCUUUAGCUUUGUUUGAAAACAGCAAAUCUGAGCACUCAAUAACCUAUUUCAGGGUGUCUUUGGUGGCAAAAUAUCAAAAAAAAUUGGGGAAAAUGGUGUUGUUUUGUCAUGGUGCUAAAAAAAUGUACAUUGGAAUUGAGAUGCUGAUAUCUCGAGAAUUCCAGUCCUUCCAAUUUGCCAAUGCCUUUGCUUCUGUGAUGGUCUCAGACAAACAUUAGCAUGAACAAUGGUGAUUGCUCCCAGAAGAAAGAAUGAGGCCAACAAGGAUAAGAGGGACUUUUAAGAGGGUGGUUGACCCCUCUGUUUGGCCUAUGAUUUCUCAAUUAACAAAACUAACAGCCCUCUUCUUCUGAAAACCAAGAAACCAAAUAUCUGGCGCCUUCGUUGCUCUGUUGCUGGAUCUUUAGUCCAAAAUUUUCUCAAUGUCUGGAAAUCUAUGGAAGAGUAACAUUUUCUGAAAGAGGCCGUGAUGAUACUUGUUAAUCGGGGCAUUUGCACAAAUGGCCUUUUCUAAAGCCACUGUUUAAAUUGUCCUCAUUUCUAUUUGGGCAUUGAGAUAUCCCGACCAAUAUCUUGGCUUGGUAAAAACUGGAAUGGGCUGUGAUUUGAGGCUUUCUCCUUCACAUGCAACCGGUUCUUUUGCAGUCAUUUGCAGUCAUGGCGUGGUCGCCUUCUCUUUGCCCCAUUAGAAAACUGAGAUCUGAGCCCCAUUUUCCAAAUUUCCUUCCGGACAACCCGGGAAUCGAACACGUAACCUUUUUUGAUGGAAAAAGAUCAAUAACAUCCUUUUUAUGCACCCAUUGAUUAGUCUUCAAUGGGAAGUGUUCUCUGGAAUUGGGAUUCUUCAAUUCUCUGUGUUAGACUGACAUGAUAGCCAACUUCACCAGGCAACCUUUUCUGUAUGCAUGUUUUUGCAUAUGAGUAUAUGUGGAUUUGUGCAUAUGUUUCCGUCGUCUUUAUUUUUUCCUCACUUGUUGUGUUCCAAAUCAAUGAACUCCAAAAGAGGAACCAAUAUGGCUGUGAUGAUAAUGUUUGUUGAGCUAAUUAAACAUCGGGCACUGGAUUUUUGUUGCCUGUAUCUUGGCUUGGCAACUUGAAUUUCUUCAAUUUGCAGUCAUGGCAGGUGGCAGAAAAGCCGAUGCCCAUACAAAUCUGAGCCUCCAGUUGAAAGCAAACAUUAACUGUCUAGUAGUAGUACUUGGACCUCAAUCUGGUUAAUGGCAGUGAUGAUAUUUGCUUAUCUGGGCUUCAAGAAUAAAGACAAUCAGACCCGUAUCUUGGCUUGGCAAACCCUAGAUGCUAUGUGAUUUAAGGCUUCUCUACUACAGGCAACUGGUACUUUUGCAGCCAUGGUGUGGUUUCUCUUUUCCCGAUUGAUAACCCAGAUCUGAGCCUCAAAAUUGCAAGUAGUCAUGGACAUUGUUUGGUGGAAGCCCAUAUUCACUUAUUUUGGAAGCCACCUCAUAAAUGAGGCACCAAAGAGAAUUAUUCAUUUAUUUAUUUAUUUAUUUGUUCAUUCAGUCAGUUCUACUGAUGUUCUGGCUUUGUGAACGCCAACAGCGAGAGUCAUACUUGAAAAAGGUGAAACAUUGAGGCAGUGAUGAUAUGGUUCUUGGUAAACCGGCAGCAAGACAUGGUUCUGUGAGUGUAUCUAAGUCCAAAUUCUGCUCGAACUUAGUCAGACAUAUAUAGAAAACUUGCUACUUAUGGAUCCAGAUUCUUUUCCCUCAAUUCAUUAUAGUUGUUCUAUGAUGGCUAAAUUCAUUGCUAUUUUCUUUUCCCCUUUUCACCAUGGAGGGUGUGGCGAAUUGGUCAGAACUUCCAUAGAAUCUACUUAUUACAAUAGCGACGCUUGCAACAGUUAUGGGGGAUUUCGUUGUAUUUGGUGCUGUUUGUAAAUCAUGGCGAAGUGCUGCUACUAACGAAAAUUUUGAUGUCUCAUCUCCCGAAAUUGCUUUGCUUAUGCUGACUGCUGGUAAAGAUGAUGAUUACCGAGAAUUUUACUCUGUUUCCAUGGAGAAAGGUUCAAGCAGUUUUCUCCCAGUAGCUAAAGCGAGAUCGUGUCUUUCAACACAGGGAUGGCUUUGCACUGUGCAAUAUACAGGUAUCGGAGAUAUGUGUGGUUGCAUCCUUUCUCAUGAACCCAAAUUCAGCUUCCUCCACAUACUUCCUCCAAACACACCCCUAUGCUCUCUUGCUCUUCAUCUGUCUCUUUGUGCUGCUGCAGCUAUUGAUGUUGUAGAGGGGCUGUGAUGAUUGCUUGCUUUCCUUUCUGGGCUAUGUUCAAUCAUGGCAUUAAAAAUAUACCCGAUCUGUAUCUUGGCAGGGUGACCCAGUUAUGGCUUUGAAUAGCAAACUGAUGUCUGCACCGAUGGCUGCAUCAAUCUUCUCUUUUGCUUUGUUAAGAAAUACAGAAAAUCUGAGCCCUCAUUAACCCAUUUCGUGGUCUUCCAUGGUGAGUCCAUUCUCAGAUUUGCAAACCUAUUAUGGUUUUGUGUUGAAAUUUCGGCUCUGAAGAAUAAGGGAGAAAAUGAUAAAAAUGGUCUCUUAUGUUUGAGGAUAUGUCUAAGAUAGUCCCUUAAGUAUGCAUUUAACAAUUUUGGUACUUUAAGUUUGCCAAAAUUUUAACAUUUUUAGUCUCCGUAAAAUAUUUAUUGAGUUCGAUUAGAUUUGAAGGAGAUGGUGGGGAAAAAGGGAAAUUAGUGGGAGCUCACAACAACAACCCAGUGAAAUGUAAGAGGAGGGAAGGGGAGGGUUUUGUUUACGCAGCCUUACCUCUACCUUGUGAAGGUUAAAGGGUGGUGAGCUCCCGCUAAUUUUUGGGAUUUCUUGGGUGUUUGACCUUCUCAGAUAUGCCGAUGAUUUAGGGGUCAAGCUAUAGAAUUUCCCCAGAAAUGAGGCAAAACAGAGAGUUUGGGAUUUUCUUUGAAGGGUGGUUGCCCCUUUCUGUUCCACCAUUGAUUGUCCUCCAUUAUCAACCAACAGCCCUUGUUUAUGGAAAAACCAAAAUGGAUUUAACAUAUAUACGCUGAGACUUUGUCUUUCUUCUCUGUGUGUGUAUGUGUGUGUUUUACAGUGUUGAUGAAAUGUUCAUGAAGAUGCAGUGAUGAUGAUGUUUCUAUACUGGGCUAACCAAUUUGAGCUUUGAGAUAUUCAACCCAUAUUUGGUGAGACGACCUGGCUUCUGUCUCUCACAUGCAACUGGUGUUUGCAGCCAUGGCAUGGUUGGCUUCUGUUUUGUGGAACUUUUGCCUUAUCAUAACAUACAUCUGAGCCCCAUUUCUUUGAAAAGAAAGAAGAAGAAUAAUCUUUCUGUGAUUUACUGCUACAAGCUAUAAAUCUUCUUGUAGUCCUAUUGUAUCAUCAUAUUUGUUCAGUAUCCGCUGAGCAUAGCCUAGAAAAAAAAGAAGAAUGAGGCAAUGGGGAGAUUGGGAUUUUCUGUAAAGGGUGGUUGCCCCUCUCUGGUCUGCCCGUGAUUUCUCCAUUGAUAACCAAAAGGUCAACAGCCCUUUGAAAUAAACAAGAAAAAACAAAGAAAAAAAGAAAAAACUUUCAUCCAAACACAUCCUUUGUACUGCUGCUUCUGAACUUAUAAAGGGGCUUGCUUUCUUUUCUGGGCAAUGUUCAAUCGUCGAAUCGAAAAAAAUCUGACCCGUAUGUCGUCAGGGCGACACUGUACGGCUUUGAGUAGCAAACUGGUGUCUGCAGCCAUGGUAGCAUCACUCUUUCUUUAUUUUGUUCAAAUACAGCAAAUUGGAGCCCUCAAUAAUCCAUUUCAUGGUUUACUGUGUUAAGUACAUUCGCGGUCAAGGAACUCUUAAUUGAAAUUUCAGCUCUGAAUAAUGACGCAUUGGAAAAAUGGGAAAUUCGAAGGUGAAAAAAAAAAAGGAAUUCCCCCCCAAAAUGGAAAAUGGUUAACCCAAAAAUGAGGCAAAACAGAGAGUUUGGGAUUUUCUUUAUUGGGAGCUUCCCCUCUCUGU